UGGAUGGGUGGGUGGAUGGGUGGAUGGGUGGAUGGAUGGAUGGGUGGGUGGAUGGAUGGAAGGAUGGAUGGAUGGGUGGGUGGAUGGGUGGAUGGGUGGAUGGAUGGAUGGGUGGGUGGAUGGAUGGACGGAUGGAUGGAUGGAUGGAUGGAUGAGUAGGUGGAUGGGUGGGUAGGUGGAUGGAUGGGUAGGUGAGUGGAUGGGUGAGUGGGUGGUUCAGUGGAAUGACUGGAUGGGCAAAUGAGUGGAUGGAUGGGUGGGUGGGUAGGUGGGUGAAUGGGUGGAUGGAUGGGUGGGUAGGUGGAUGGAUAAAUAGAGCAGUGAAUGAGUGGACAGGUAAAUGGGUGGAUGGGUGGGCAGGUGGGUAGGUGGGCAAUAUAGUUUUGCUGUGUCCCCACCCAAAUCUCAUUUUGAAUUGUAGUUCCCAUAAUCCCCACCUGUCAUGGGAGGGACCCAAUGGGAGGCAAUUGAAUCAUGGGGGCGGUUACCCCCAUGCUGUUCUUGUGAUAGUGAGUGAGUUCUCACGGGAUCUGAUGGUUUUAUAAGGGUUUUUCCCCUGCUUGCUUGGCAGUUUUCUCUCCUGCUGCCUUGUAAAGAAGGACAUAUUUGCUUCCCC
rnacentral:lncRNA from 1 species